rnacentral:lncRNA from 1 species
CUCACACAGUGUGCUUCUCUGGGUGGAGCAGGCUGGCGCUUCAAUUGAACCCAGGGCUUGGCCAUGGACUUGCAUAUCAUUGCUGAGAGAAGUCUCAACAGCAGCUUAAGUACUAUUGAAGACCUCAAGAUGACAAAUUUUCUCCAUCACUUCUAAGGCUGAAUUGUCAUAUCCAAUGUGCUUUAUGACUAUGCUUUGAGAGAUGGUGAUAGAAGACAAAUACAUCGCAUCAUCAUCCACUCAGUGAGAAAUGGCUUUUGCAGAUUUGUGCUGAUGGAUCUAAGGUGUGCACCUCUGGAGGCUUUGAGGUGGCUAUACUUCAGUUGUGGAUAAAGAGGUGAAGAAGGACAUCUAUGGUGAUGCUCAGUAAUAUCUGCGAAGAACUGUGGAGACAGACAAAUAGUCAAAGGAGAAUACAGAUGACUUUCAGAAGAAGUGUGAACAUCAAGCUGAGGAGCUUUUUUGAAGAGCAGGAUCUUUCUAUCAACAUGGGAUAGUGGAAGAUUAAAGUAGUGAUGACUACAUAUAGAAAUACAAAGUUGAAGUGAGAGACGCAAGUCUGAUACUGCAAAAGAAAAAUGUAAGAAACUUAGGACUCAACUUUAUCAAUGAGUUCGUUCAACUAUAGAAAUGCACUAGGGACUGAAUGGUGUCCCCCCAAAAUUUAUAUGUCAAAGCUCUAAUCCUCAAUAUGAUGAUCUCCAGAGAUGGAACUUUGGGGUGGUAAUUGGGUUUAGAUGAGGUUAUGAGGAUGGGGUCCUCAUGAAGGGAUUAGUGCCCUUAUAAGGAGAGGCCAGAGUGCUCACUUGUUCGCAUAUGCUCUUGUAUUCUCUCUCUCUCCUCAACCCCCACCAUGUGAGGACACAACAAGAAGAUGGUUGUCUACAAGCCAGGAAGAGAACCUUCACAAGGAACCAAAUCAGCGGGCACCGUGAUCACGAGACUCCCAGCCUCCAGAACUGUGAGAAAUAAAUGUCUGCUGUUGAAGCCAUCCAGUCCACAGUAUUUUGUUACAGCAGCCUGAGCAGAUUAAAAUAAAGAAAUGUAACUUGUGAGAUAGACAGAAAGG